rnacentral:lncRNA from 12 species
GCGGAGGCCCUGUGGCAGCCUCGGACUUCCCGGGGAUGCGGACUCGAGCCCGGCCGCGGCCCCGCUGGCUCAGAUGCUGGGGGCCCCGCAAGCCCGCCCCGCGUGUGCUCCCAACAACCUCACGGGGAAAGCAACAGGCGCGGGUCUGCGGUGCGGGCCGGGCCCAGGACAGACAGACAGACAGGCAGGGGGGGUGUCCCGCAUUCCCUGAGCUUCCACAGCCAGGUUGCCCGACCGCGCGGCCCGGCCCCCUCCGGUGGUCCCUGAGCAUUGCCGAGGUGGGGCCUGUCCCCCCCAGCGUGGCCGUCACCAGCGGGACCACCCGCGCCCACCCCCAAAGCCAGAGACGAUUGUUUGGAAGCCUGGAUGGAUAAACGUUUACCUUUAACGUUUUCUACCAUCCAGGAAAGAUUUCCUCCCUUUGGUUCUCACUUCUUCCUAAGUCAGUGCCUGAGGCAGCUCUUUCUGGAAACUUCCACUUGCCUGAGCCAAUGAACUCCUUUGUGCCUUGGCCUAUGGGGUUUUUUGUCCUUUGCCAAUUGAAAACAUUCCUACUUUAUAGAAACGAGAGGAGGCAGGCCCAACUACGCGUCAGCUGUGCAGCCAAGGAAACUGAGGAUCCUUCACCAGAUGAGCCUGCGCUCGGGCGCUCUCCCAGCCGACGGCCCGAGAAGGAGAGCCGGUGCUCGCAUCCCUCCGGCCACCUCUCGGUCACGGUCACCAGGGAAAUACAGCCCUGAUUCCAGGAGCCGGCGUCCCUGCUCCGCUGAGAGCCGUGCAGAGGGACGGUGGGGAGGGCCCCGCGUGCGCUCUCGGCCACAGCUCAGCAACCCCGGCCCUGUCCCCCGCAGGGCAGCCGGGAGUGGGGGACAGGCGACCUGCGAGCCUGACGCCAACGUGACCGGGCAUGCCUAUCCCCCCGGCCUGGCCGGGUCAUCCCCCGAGGAGGACAGCACUUACAUCCGGGCACUGGAUCGAGCCUUCUGCAAAUGGCCAGGCCAGGAGGAGAAAGGCAGUGAGCAAAGGUGCAGCUGUGUUUGGGGAAAUUAUGCUGUUUUUAGCACCGGUGCCCGUGGGAGGUGA